ACUGCAGGUGGUGCUGGGCGCAGUGGAGGGUGACUGUAAUCCCAGAAGCUCGGGAGGCUGAGGCAGGAGGAU
rnacentral:miRNA from 1 species